CCCAGCCCCCCAUCCCUGUCCUCUCUCCAGGUGAGGACCCCAGCCUUGAUCUGUGGGCCAGAUCAAGUGGCACCCAGCAUGUGGGCUUGACCUGGCAUGAAGGAUAAUGAUGCAGGACCAUUCAUUCACUGGAGUAAAGUGCUGGCCAGCGUGACUGAUUUAAGGGCUUUGUCCCUGUGAUCCAUGCGGAUGGCCACCUUACGUCUCGCGUGAAUCAUGAUGGUGCAACCUCUCAAAACCUUAUGGACCGUUGUUGGACUUUUGACACAACUACAUCUAAUGGAUAGCAACCCCCAUCAACCCUGGAAAUAGGAGCUUAGCCGCUGGAAUGACCAAGAGAUGGUUUGGACUUGGGUAGGAUCAGGAAGUCCAUGGUUUGUGCCCACAUCCUGUUGGUUCUUUCCGGGGCUCCAAUGUCCCAGACAAAGUCAAUUCUACCUUUAUCCAGCAGCAACAGGGGGCAGAUCAUAUUGGAAUUCCCCGGGAGAAUAUUUUUGUGCUCGUUGGGGCUGUGAAACAGUUGCAACAGGAUGGCAAACUGCCUUCCCAGAUAAACACCUUAAACUGACAUGGGGGCUGCUGGGGUGCAGCCUAGAUGACUACCCACCAGCAAAUCAAAGACCCUGUCAGGUUCUAAACAUCACUGUCACCACUCCGGAGGACCCUGGCUGGCUGACAGGAUGCACCUGGGGACUUUGAGUCUAUAAGUCAGGCAAAGAUAGGGGAAAUCUUAUUUUCAUAAAAAAGGUUUCCCUACAGGUUGCAUCCACGUCCAUAGGCCCAAAUCCUGUUCUAUAGCCAAAUUACAAUCCAAAUCCAAAAUACAAGCAGUGUAAUACAGAUCCUGGUACUGCUAUUCAAACAACCACAGAAGUCACCCAACCAUAAGCAUUUCUCUAGCCCCCCCACACCAGGCAGAUCAUAUACCUGACCCUCAAUAUUCACAUUCUAACCUAUUCAGUUUGAUUAAAGGGGCAUACACGGCUGUAAAUCAUACCCAACCUGAUUUCACCCAAUCCUGUUGGCUAUUCUUGGUGACACUCACCUUAGCUGUAUUACUAGGGUUAGGAGUCGCAAUGGGAAUAGGAACAGGGACUACAGCUCUAGUGUUGGGAAAUCAGCAUCUAGCUCAAUUACAGACAGCAGUAGAUCAAGAUUUAAAAGAAAUAGAAACAUCUGUAGUGGCUUUACAAGCAUCUCUGAUGUCUUUAUCUUAGGUAGUCCUACAAAAUAGAAGAGGACUAGACCUCCUAUUUAUGAAGGAGGGUGGCUUAUGUGCUGCUCUCAAAGAAGAAUGCUGUUUUUAUGCCGACCACUCAGGAGUCAUCAGAGAGUCCAUGACUUAACUAAGAGAGCGCCUCAAAGAGAGAGAAAAGGAACGCCUCAGAGAAAUGACCUUCUCUUCCAUGUGGGGGGGGGGUCUCUUCCCUUACAUUGCCCCCCUCUUGGGGCCCCUGGCUGCUUUAUUGCUACUCCUUACUGUAGGCCCUUGUAUUUUCCAGAGGAUUGUGACACUCCUUAAUAACAGGAUUGACACGUUUAUGGCAAAGCCCAUUCAGGUACAUUACCAUCAAUUGGAGAUAGUAGAACAACAAACUUAUCAGGAAAGAACAUCCACUGAUGGUCCACAUAAUGAUGUGGCCCCAAUGCGCUGAGGUACUGGACAGGCAGCCAGAGACCGGCAACUAGGACACAUAUGUUAUGCCAUCGAACACCUAAGACAGGCACAGGACCAACUGCUAUCCUGCAGGCCCAUGACAGAUAAGGCUCAAUUUGGUACAUAUGAAGAGUCCUUGACCCAAGAUAGGCACUGUUCUCACAGGGCCUGCCAUACUCCUAAAAAAUAUAAUAAAAAGGGAGGAGAUGUAGGGAGCAGGAUAUCUCACUGCUGCCACCUUAUCUCGCCCCCCUGUGGGCCUCUGCUGUGUCUGCCUACAUUUCCCAUGAUCCUCAUGUCUGCCUACAUUGCCCAUAAUCCUCUCCUGCUUACAUCAUAUAUCCAGAUGUGACAAUGACCUAUCAGGUAACACUCUGUGCCCUCUUCCUGCCCCAUUGGCCCGCCUCCACCCUAUAUAAGUUGUAGCCAUUUUAAGAAUAAAUAAGCCUUGAAUGGAA